rnacentral:rRNA from 1 species
CCUACGGGAGGCAGCAGUGGGGAAUAUUGGACAAUGGGGGGAACCCUGAUCCAGCCAUGCCGCGUGUGUGAAGAAGGCCCUCGGGUUGUAAAGCACUUUCAGUGAGGAAGAACGCCUGGUGGUUAAUACCCAUCAGGAAAGACAUCACUCACAGAAGAAGCACCGGCUAACUCCGUGCCAGCAGCCGCGGUAAUACGGAGGGUGCGAGCGUUAAUCGGAAUUACUGUGCGUAAAGCGCGCGUAGGUGGCUUGAUAAGCCGGUUGUGAAAGCCCCGGGCUCAACCUGGGAACGGCAUCCGGAACUGUCAAGCUAGAGUGCAGGAGAGGAAGGUAGAAUUCCCGGUGUAGCGGUGAAAUGCGUAGAGAUCGGGAGGAAUACCAGUGGCGAAGGCGGCCUUCUGGACUGACACUGACACUGAGGUGCGAAAGCGUGGGUAGCAAACAGGAUUAGAUACCCGUGUAGUC